rnacentral:rRNA from 1 species
UACGUAGGGUGCAAGCGUGAAUCGGAAUUACUGGGCGUAAAGCGUGCGCAGGCGGUUUUGUAAGUCAGAUGUGAAAUCCCCGGGCUUAACCUGGGAACUGCGUUUGAGACUACAAGGCUAGAGUGUGGCAGAGGGGGGUGGAAUUCCACGUGUAGCAGUGAAAUGCGUAGAGAUGUGGAGGAACACCGAUGGCGAAGGCAGCCCCCUGGGUUAACACUGACGCUCAGGCACGAAAGCGUGGGGAGCAAACAGG